UACGUAGGGGUCGAGCGUUGUCCGGAGUUACUGGGCGUAAAGCGUGCGCGGCGGCUCUCGCGCUCGGCGUGAAAGCCCCCGGCUCCAACCGGGGAGGGUCGUCGAGGACGGGGUGAGCUUGAGGGUAUCGAGGGGUUGGUGGGAAGUUCCCGGUGUGAGUGGGUGAAAGUGCGUAGAGAUCGGGAGGAACACCCGUGGCGAAGGCGGCCAAGCUGGGAUACAC
rnacentral:rRNA from 1 species